GUGCUUGCUUAGGCAGCACAUAUGCUAAUAUUGGAAUGAUAAAGAGAACGUUAGCACAGCCACUGCAUGUGGAUGUCAUGCACAUGUCCUUAAGCAUUUCACAAUUAA